rnacentral:lncRNA from 1 species
GGGAGUUCAUAACCCACUUGAAUCAAAGUGUGGAAUAUGAUAUGUCAAGAAAUUUGUAAUGUUUUGAACAACCAACAAUAAAAAAUUAAAAAAAAAAAGAAAAUCACUUUUGAUUUUUACAGGAGCUCAUGAUGUGAGUUUUACCCCGAGUAUCAGAGAAGACUCUGGGCUUAAACUUUUGGGCAAUCCUGGAACUGUUGAAGAUUAUAGGGACUCUUGCGAAUGGACAAAAUUGUUCUGCGUUCUGAAAUAAACAUAAGGUUUUGGGGACUACGAGUUGAUUGUCAUGAUUUGGAUGUAAGGUGUCCCUAAAAGCUCACAUGUGAGACAAUGCAAGAAGGGUUAGAGGAGAAAUGAUUGGGUUCUGAGAGUCUUACCCCAACCAGUGAAUUAAUCCUCUGAUGGGAUUAACUGAGUGGUAACUGAAGGUGAGUAGGGUGUGGCUGGAGGAGGUGGGUCAUUGUGACUUUGGGGUAUAUGUUUUGAAUCUGGAGAGUGGACUCUGCUUCCUGAUCAUCAUGUGAGCUGCUUCCCUCUGCCACACUCUUCCACCAUGAUGUCCAGCCUCCCCUCAAGCCCUGAGGAAUGGAGCCCGCUAUCUAUGGACUGAGACCCUGAAACCAUAAGCCACCAAAUAAAUUUUUCUCCCUUAAAAUUGUUCUUGUUUGGUUUUUUAGUCAUAGCAGCCAAAAAGCUGACUAAAACAGGAAGAAAAGGAUACCGAGGGCAAAAUUGUCAUGAAGCUUUUCACUUGAACAUGUUGGGAAUGAACAAGCAGAAUCUGUGCACUUACAAAUAGAAAUUGUCCCCCUUAUACCAUGACCUCACUCCCCAACUGGACCCUAUCAAUAACCUGAGAGCCUCCCACUAAGUCCCAUGUCUCAAAUUCCACCCCUUCCCAAUAUCACCAUCCUGGACACUUAGGCAAACCACAGCUGUGCAAUCAGAGGGGACUUUGUCAUUCAGAGACUCAUUAAAUCAGCAAAUAGCAGAUCACAAACAUGCAUAUUUGAAAAUUUAACUGACAAACAAUUAGUUUAACUUCUGAGAAGUUGCCUUAGUGAAAGAUGCUUGUCUUCUGUAUCUUCUUUGAGAAAACAUCCCUCUGCUACAAAG